rnacentral:lncRNA from 1 species
GCGUGUAGAUCCUUCCUCGCUCCUCAAGAAGCACGACCUCCCAGUUCAAAAACUUAAAAUAAAUAGGAAGCACGACCUCCUCCCGCCGCGCAGACGCCGACGCGCCUCUUCACCCCCACCUCCUCCGGUCGCGCCUCUUCGCCCUCCCCACCUCCCAACCUCCUCCGGCCGCGCAAACGCCGACGCGCCUCUUCACCUCCACCACCUCCGGCCGCGCAGACGCCGGCGCGCCUCUUCGUCCCCCCUCAACGUUGGAUCGCCUGCUGCCUCACGCCGGAGUCCCGCCGCCACCCACGCUCCCAUGACGACGUAAAACUCUCUUCCCCGCGUACCUCAGAUCUGCACGCACGUCUUUGGAACAGACAAGUCGAUCAUGAACUAGG